rnacentral:rRNA from 1 species
AUUGAACGCUGGCGGCAGGCCUAACACAUGCAAGUCGAACGAGUGGCGUACGGGUGAGUAAUGUCUGGGAACCUGCCCGAUGGAGGGGGAUAACUACUGGAAACGGUAGCUAAUACCGCAUACCAUCGGAUGUGCCCAGAUGGGAUUAGCUAGUAGGUGGGGUAACGGCUCACCUAGGCGACGAUCCCUAGCUGGUCUGAGAGGAGGACCAGCCACCAUGGAACUGAGACACGGUCCAGAGUCCUACGGGAGGCAGCAGUGGGGAAUAUUGCACAAUGGGCGCAAGCCUGAUGCAGCCAUGCCGAGUGUAUGAAGGAGGCCUUCGGGUUGUAAAGUACUUUCAGCGAGGAGGCGUUACUCGCAGAAGAAGCACCGGCUAACUCCGUGCCAGCCGCCGCGGUAAUUC